rnacentral:rRNA from 1 species
AUGCGGAGGGUGCAAGCGUUACUCGGAAUCACUGGGCGUAAAGGGCGCGCAGGCGGUUUGAUUAGUCAGAUGUGAAAGCCCACGGCUUAACCGUGGAAGUGCAUUUGAAACUGUCAGACUUGAGUACCAGAGGGGGUAGUGGAAUUCCCGGUGUAGAGGUGAAAUUCGUAGAUAUCGGGAGGAAUACCGGUGGCGAAGGCGACUACCUGGCUGGAUACUGACGCUGAGGCGCGAAAGCGUGGGGAGCAAACAGGAUUAGAAACCCGAGUAGUCC